UACGGGGGGAGCAAGCGUUGUUCGGAUUUACUGGGCGUAAAGGGCGCGUAGGCGGCCUCUGCAAGUCGACUGUGAAAUCUCCGGGCUUAACCCGGAAAGGUCAGCCGAUACUGCAGGGCUAGAGUGCAGAAGGGGCAACUGGAAUUCUCGGUGUAGCGGUGAAAUGCGUAGAUAUCGAGAGGAACACCUGCGGCGAAGGCGGGUAGCUGGGCCGACACUGACGCUGAAGCGCGAAAGCCAGGGGAGCGAACGGG
rnacentral:rRNA from 1 species